UGCAAGUCGAGCGGACAGAUGGGAGCUUGCUCCCUGAUGUUAGCGGCGGACGGGUGAGUAACACGUGGGUAACCUGCCUGUAAGACUGGGAUAACUCCGGGAAACCGGGGCUAAUACCGGAUGGUUGUCUGAACCGCAUGGUUCAGACAUAAAAGGUGGCUUCGGCUACCACUUACAGAUGGACCCGCGGCGCAUUAGCUAGUUGGUGAGGUAACGGCUCACCAAGGCGACGAUGCGUAGCCGACCUGAGAGGGUGAUCGGCCACACUGGGACUGAGACACGGCCCAGACUCCUACGGGAGGCAGCAGUAGGGAAUCUUCCGCAAUGGACGAAAGUCUGACGGAGCAACGCCGCGUGAGUGAUGAAGGUUUUCGGAUCGUAAAGCUCUGUUGUUAGGGAAGAACAAGUGCCGUUCAAAUAGGGCGGCACCUUGACGGUACCUAACCAGAAAGCCACGGCUAACUACGUGCCAGCAGCCGCGGUAAUACGUAGGUGGCAAGCGUUGUCCGGAAUUAUUGGGCGUAAAGGGCUCGCAGGCGGUUUCUUAAGUCUGAUGUGAAAGCCCCCGGCUCAACCGGGGAGGGUCAUUGGAAACUGGGGAACUUGAGUGCAGAAGAGGAGAGUGGAAUUCCACGUGUAGCGGUGAAAUGCGUAGAGAUGUGGAGGAACACCAGUGGCGAAGGCGACUCUCUGGUCUGUAACUGACGCUGAGGAGCGAAAGCGUGGGGAGCGAACAGGAUUAGAUACCCUGGUAGUCCACGCCGUAAACGAUGAGUGCUAAGUGUUAGGGGGUUUCCGCCUCUUAGUGCUGCAGCUAACGCAUUAAGCACUCCGCCUGGGGAGUACGGUCGCAAGACUGAAACUCAAAGGAAUUGACGGGGGCCCGCACAAGC
rnacentral:rRNA from 1 species